GAUGAACGCUGGCGGCGUGCCUAAUACAUGCAAGUCGAGCGAACAGAUAAGGAGCUUGCUCCUUUGACGUUAGCGGCGGACGGGUGAGUAACACGUGGGUAACCUACCUAUAAGACUGGGAUAACUUCGGGAAACCGGAGCCAAUACCGGAUAAUAUUUCGAACCGCAUGGUUCGAUAGUGGAAGAUGGUUUUGCUAUCACUUAUAGAUGGACCCGCGCCGUAUUAGCUAGUUGGUAAGGUAACGGCUUACCAAGGCGACGAUACGUAGCCGAUCUGAGAGGGGGAGCAGCCACAGUGGGACUGAGACACGGCCCAGACUCCGACGGGAGGCAGCAGUGGGGAAGUUAGGACAAUGUGCGCAAGCCUUAUCCAGCCAUGCCGCGUGCAGGAGUAAGGCCUUCGGGUUGUAAACUGCUUUUGUACGGAACGAACAGCCUUCUGUUAAUACAGGAGGGUCAUGACGGGACCGUAAGAAUAAGCACCGGCUAACUACGUG
rnacentral:rRNA from 1 species